UUGGAGGGCAAGUCUGGUGCCAGCAGCCGCGGUAAUUCCAGCUCCAAUAGCGUAUAUUAAAGUUGUUGCAGUUAAAACGCUCGUAGUUGAAUUUCGGGAUCAAAUAAUCGGUCGUGCCUCCGGUACGUACUGGUUUUAUUGGUUCCUCCCUUCUGACGAACCAUGAUGUCAUUAAUUUGAUGUGGUGGAGAAUCAGGACUGUUACCUUGAAAAAAUUAGAGUGUUUAAAGCAGGCUAACGCUUGAAUACAUUAGCAUGGAAUAAUGAAAUAGGACGUUCGACCCUAUUUUGUCGGUUUCUAGGAUCGACGUAAUGAUUAAUAGGGAUAGUUGGGGGCAUUAGUAUUCAAUUGUCGGAGGUGAAAUUCUUGGAUUUAUUGAAGACUAACUACUGCGAAAGCAUUUGCCAAGGAUGUUUUCAUUAAUCAAGAACGAAAGUUAGGGGAUCGAAGACGAUCAGAUACCGUCGUAGUCUUAACCAUAAACUAUGCCGACUAGGGAUCGGAUGAUGUUAAUUUUUUAAUGACUCAUUCGGCGCCUUACGGGAAAC
rnacentral:rRNA from 1 species